ensembl:lncRNA
AAUGCUUCCUGCUUUGGUUCUGUGCACCUACAGCGCAUCCACGUGUCCUUUAAACAACGUAUACAAGUGAUUUGGAGCAAGAUUUUAAGAUAAAUCUUUCUGUUCAAAGAAAGUGUGAAACAGCACUUUCUUAGUAGGACAGCGGCAUUCAGGCUACACCUGAUCUCAUACUGGAUGUACCACAGAAAAGGUACCGCUUUUUAUUAGAGCAUCUCUCCGCACGGGAGAGUGUGGUGCCGAAUGAAAGCACAGCAAAGAGAACCUGAAAGGUAAAAAAAAAAAUAGCAUGUGAUCUCAAAAUAGUCGCCUUACUUUCUCUUAUCACGACGCACCUUUUGGUUGCCCACUUGGCGCGCGUCGUAGCGAAGCUUCAAAAGUUUAUGCGCCCCUCCAUCCAGCUGGACAUCAAUUAAAGAAAUAAAUCGGCUGCCUGAGCCUCUCACCUUGGGCUUCGGUGGUUCAUUCCGUCGGUAGCAGCCGGUAAUGUAGCCUGUUGCAGACAAAUAAAUCCGCUUUAAAACGGGACAUCUUAGCACGGCGCGAGAACGGCACACUCCGCGACCCGCUUGUCUCUGCCGCUCCCGGGGAAUGGAGAGGAGCUCCCUGCACCGACGCAACGUCACUUAGACCUGGACACACAGGUGGAGAUUUUUCCAGGAGAAAAUCCCACAAAGUAAUUGUAUCUUUAAAUCGUUUGGUUAUUAAAAAAAAGAAAAAGAAAGAAAGAAAGAUUUAAAAAAAAAAAAAGGAGAGACACAGAGAUACCUCGAGUGGCCCCUUAAAAAAAGAAAGAAAAAAAAAGAAGAUCCUCGGAGACGGCAGAGUGGCCAGACCCACUGCUCUCAGACACAAUGAGGUGGUGAGGCUUUGACAACUGGCUUUCACCUGAAGUUUAAUUCUACUGAGUGCAACCAUGAACAGAAAUAUACAUAUUCUUUAAUUUUUAAUUUUCUUUUAAAUUUUUUUUUUUUUUUUUACAAUUAUAUGGCUUUAAGUAGGAAAUGCACUGUCUAAAUAUGUGACAGCAUUAAAACUUUGGAAACAGGAGCAUCGCUACUGAGUGGGAAAAGAAAAAAGCUCUAUGGAAAAACGGCUGGCAGUAAUUCUGUUAGUCUUCAUUUCGAGCAGCUGCUUCCAGAGAGGUGUUUUGUUUGCUUAAAGUCACGUUGUUAAAAGUCAAAGGUGUACCGUCUGAGUAGACAAACAUGUAAAACUUAUA